CUCUCAUGCCAUCCACUAGUGACCCAUCAGGGAAGGAGGGAACAGGCUGUAGGAUUCAGGUGGCUCCAAGUCAGUGGUCUAGGGUGGAUGCCGACUGGACAAGCUAUGACUCGGUUCAUUGUUCUCAGCUCCUCAUCUCUACUGGGAGGUGAGAGUGCUCUGAGGGUGAGCGAAGGGGUCAAUCAUCCGUCCUCGUACCUGGAACAUGAUGCCUUACAGGAUGCUUCUCUGGCCCAUCCCUUAUCAUCUUGAAAAUGGACAUUUGAAGAGACAGAACUCACAGUGUUCUCCAUCCCAAGGUCCAGUGAAUGGCACUGUGCUGCC
rnacentral:lncRNA from 1 species